CCAGAGACUAAGAAAACAGAGUCCUUGAAGUCAAGCUGACUCUGAUUUUGGCCUCCUAAAUGAAAAGAUGAAUAGAACAGGUCUUGUUUGCAAAAUAAAUUCAAGACCUACUUAUCUAUCAACAGCA
ensembl:snoRNA